AUUGAACGCUGGCGGCAGGCCUAACACAUGCAAGUCGAACGGCAGCACAGAAGAGCUUGCUCUUUGGGUGGCGAGUGGCGGACGGGUGAGUAAUGUCUGGGAAACUGCCCGAUGGAGGGGGAUAACUACUGGAAACGGUAGCUAAUACCGCAUAACGUCGCAAGACCAAAGUGGGGGACCUUCGGGCCUCACACCAUCGGAUGUGCCCAGAUGGGAUUAGCUAGUAGGUGGGGUAAUGGCUCACCUAGGCGACGAUCCCUAGCUGGUCUGAGAGGAUGACCGGCCACACUGGAACUGAGACACGGUCCAGACUCCUACGGGAGGCAGCAGUGGGGAAUAUUGCACAAUGGGCUCAAGCCUGAUGCAGCCAUGCCGCGUGUAUGAAGAAGGCCUUCGGGUUGUAAAGUACUUUCAGCGGGGAGGAAGGCGGUGAGGUUAAUAACCUUGCCGAUUGACGUUACCCGCAGAAGAAGCACCGGCUAACUCCGUGCCAGCAGCCGCAGUAA
rnacentral:rRNA from 1 species